rnacentral:miRNA from 3 species
AAGCAGCACUGUGCAACUGUGU